GGGCCUGUAGCUCAGCCUGGUAGAGCAGCCGGCUCUUAACCGGUUGGUCGUGGGUUCGAAUCCCACCAGGCCCA
rnacentral:tRNA from 1 species